rnacentral:pre_miRNA from 1 species
CAUUACAGAUGAACAAAGAAAGUGGUUUCUUGAGAUGGAAUCUACUUCUGAUGAAAAUGUCAUGAUGA